rnacentral:rRNA from 1 species
UACGUAGGGUGCAAGCGUUGUCCGGAAUUAUUGGGCGUAAAGAGCUCGUAGGCGGUCUGUCACGUCGGAUGUGAAAACUCGGGGCUCAACCCCGAGCCUGCAUACGAUACGGGCAGACUUGAGUUCGGCAGGGGAGACUGGAAUUCCUGGUGUAGCGGUGAAAUGCGCAGAUAUCAGGAGGAACACCAAUAGCGAAGGCAGCUCGCUGGGACGUUACUGACACUGAGGCGCGAAAGCGUGGGGAGCGAACAGG